UGACGUUAGCAUGAACUGUUCUGGAUAAUGUUGAUUAAAUUAAUUAAAUAAAUCCUAAAAAUGAUUUAAAUCUUUUAAUCUACUACCACUAUAAAAAAAAAAGAGGGCGGAGAACCAGAUCAUCUUAUCCAUCGAAACCUGCAAUCUGAUGGUCUACAUCCCUCCAGCAUACUAAACGCGUUUUACCCUUUAAUUACCCACCAUGCCAUCUACUAUCCCUAUAAAAAAAAAAGAGAAGAGCAGAUCCAAACAACCAUGUCCAUCCAUCAAUAAAAUCUAAUGAUCCUUAAUCCUUCAGUGUUUAACACCACCAAUCACGCACUAACGCUGCACCGCGGUUAAAAAAGAGAUGCCAACAACGCACGACCUAUCGCCCACUCCUCACGCCCGCACGACCUAUCGCCUCCUCCUCCUCCUCCCAACGGAAGUCACAGCACGGAAGGGCAGCCGCGGGAGCCACCGACCGACGGAGCCACCCUUCGCCGUAGGUCGCCGCAGGAGCCGUCGCGCUCUUAGCCGCGGGACGCCGCCCUUCGCCGCAGGUCGCCGCGGGAGACGCCGCCGCGACGCCGCGGGAGCCGCCGACGGAGCCGCCCGCCGCGCCCUUCGAGCCGCAGGUCGCCGUUCCUCUUCUGCUUCCCGGCGGCCAAAUGUGAGCGUACAACCAAGAGCAUGUGGCAGAGGAGCGGAGGCAUGGGACGCAACAUGGGGCAGAGGAGCAAUGGCGUGAUGGUUGCGCAGAGGGAAUGUUCGUGAGGACGAAACGGUACAUAUUUUUAGGGGCUAAUUGCGGGGAUUAAUUAAGCAUGCACUUAACUUGGUUGAUGGUUGAUGGCUUGAUGCUCAAUAUUGGGAGGAUUUCAACUUUCUCAUUGUUGCGGUCUAUGGCGAGAGCAAAGUACAAAUGCGAUUAUUUAAAUAUAUGGACUAGCUAGAAAGCAUACCAAAAAUAUGCUUUUUGAAAGUACCCUUUCCUCUGAACAUGUAUGUAUCCCAGUGCUCCACAUUCCACUGAAUUCUGGACAAAUAUGCUACUUCCUAUCACUACCUUUUCCUCUAUUACUUUA